GACGAACGCUGGCGGCGUGCUUAACACAUGCAAGUCGAACGGAAAGGCCCUGCUUUUGUGGGGUGCUCGAGUGGCGAACGGGUGAGUAACACGUGAGUAACCUGCCCUUGACUUUGGGAUAACUUCAGGAAACUGGGGCUAAUACCGGAUAAGAGCUCCUGCUGCAUGGUGGGGGUUGGAAAGUUUCGGCGGUUGGGGAUGGACUCGCGGCUUAUCAGCUUGUUGGUGGGGUAGUGGCUUACCAAGGCUUUGACGGGUAGCCGGCCUGAGAGGGUGACCGGCCACAUUGGGACUGAGAUACGGCCCAGACUCCUACGGGAGGCAGCAGUGGGGAAUAUUGCACAAUGGGCGGAAGCCUGAUGCAGCAACGCCGCGUGCGGGAUGACGGCCUUAGGGUUGUAAACCGCUUUCGCCUGUGACGAAGCGUGAGUGACGGUAAUGGGUAAAGAAGCACCGGCUAACUACGUG
rnacentral:rRNA from 1 species